GGCUAUAUCGUUAUGAUGGCAGUAUUGUUAUAC
rnacentral:sRNA from 1 species